rnacentral:lncRNA from 1 species
ACUGCACCCCGCCUCCACCAGCUUAAACUCCAGAAGGAGGCCAAGCACCCAGGGCGUGCUAGCUGGCUGGAAAGAGCCAACGAGUGGAUAAAGAAAAUGUGAUAUAUAUGCACUAUGGAAUACUAAGCCAUAAGAAGGAAUGAAAUAAUGGCAUUUGCAGCAACCUAGAUGGAGUUGGAGACCAUUAUUCUAAGUGAAGUAACUCAAGAAUGGAAAACCAAAUAUUGUAUGUUCUCACUCGUAAGUGGGAGCUAAGCUGCGAAGAUGCAAAGGCAUAAGAAUGAUAUAGUGGACUUUGAGGACUCAAGGGUUGAAGGAUGAGACUACACAUUGGGUACAGUGUGCACUGCUUGGGUGAUGAGUGCACCAAAAUCUCAGAACUCACCACUGAAGAACUUCCCCAUGUAACCAAAAACCACCUGUUCCACAGAAACUAUCGAAAUAACAUUUUUAAAACUUUACUAUUUCUGAAUAAAAUUUACAUACAUUUCUCAGAAAAAAAAAUAUUUGGAAUUGAGGUAUCUAAUAGAGAACUGAGUUAAAUUAUUGCCACUUAAAAACACAAAGUGAUAUAGCCACUUUAUGAAUUAAUCAGUCAGCAGUGGCUAGGUUAUGCUUAGUGGUUUAUAACCAAAUCUUAGUUUAUAACAACAAAUGUGUAUUGUUAAUUCCCACUACAAGUUUAUAACGACAUUGCUGGAUGCUACACUCCAUGUCUCUUUGUGGGACCCAGGCUCAUGGGACUUCUGUUACCUGCAUUAGAGAGAGAGAAGACAACAAAAUAUGCACUGGUUCUUGAAGCUUUGGCCCAGAAGUAAAAUAUGUCUUUUACCUGUUCACAUUGCAUUGGGCCAGGGCAAUUAUCAUGGCUGCAAGUAACUUCAAAAGGAUGGGGAAGUGCGAUCUUGGCAUGUGUCAGAAGAAAUGAAAACAUUUGGUGAAGAGCAUUAAUGACUGUCUUUACAGGAAAAAAGCAAUCAAAUAGACAUGAUUGCUUGUUUCAGUUUCAUCAUUUCCUACUGUGUUACCUAAACUUUCUGAGCCCCAGUUUCUUAUUACUAAAAUAAAAUAAAGAU